UAUAGCGAACUGGACAACAAGUGAUUACUGUUGUUCAUGAGCGUAUAGUAAUUGCAUAAGCGCCUGGAGGUAAUUUCAUUUUUAAUUGUGUUCAUGACCAUGGCAAGUGACAGCGACACAAAUCACAGACAACAGACAUAUGUGAAUGAAGCGAAUGAACUAUGGCGCUCAGACUUGGUUUUUUGUACUUGAGCACUGAUUAAAAUGUGUUGUGCCCCGUGCAGCUCGACUGGACUAUGAUGCCACUGGAUGUGGCAUGCUCAAACGCUGAUCGCUGGCAAACAAACUGGCAACGUCUAGUCGCUCCUCGUAGGCGUUAUGACAAUAGAUUUACGAGUAUAGCGUUCGCUUAAUUUGCGCUAUUCAUUGUGUGUAGAAGACCUCCAGCUGAAAAACCUUAAGACACAGUCGCUUGAAUGAAAUGCCCCCGGAAAAAACCAAUUGUCCAGACUCGGCUUAAUAUCCAGUCGAGCCAAUGGAAAACGUGUGCGGUGGACAUGGACCAACUGCCAGGCUGACUGUUCGCUUGGAUGGCUGUCUUCUUGGUGGGCGGCAGGUUUACGUAUACAUAUCGCUGCCUUUGAGUGGCGCAAUAAAUUUUAAUCAAAAUUAAAAAAUGUGUAUACACAAUAAACUAAACAAAGUGCCAA